UGAGAAUGCUUGCCUACAUCUGGUGUGAAA
rnacentral:piRNA from 1 species